rnacentral:sRNA from 1 species
CCGUCCGCCCUUCGAAAUGGCUUCGGGGCCUUCGGCUCCCGCCGGUUAGGCUGACGUGGUGCGCGGUCUGCCCCCGGGGCGGGCGGCGCAUAGCCGACAGCCGUCGCAUCCCAGGGAGCAUCCCCAUG